rnacentral:rRNA from 1 species
CCUACGGGAGGCAGCAGUUAGGAAUAUUCGUCAAUGGGGGAAACCCUGAACGAGCAAUGCCGCGUGAGCGAUGAAGAUCUUUACGAUCGUAAAGCUCUGUUGUAAAGGAAGAAAAACUAUUAUAGGGAAUGAUAAUAGCUUGACGGUACUUUACCAGAAAGCCCCGGCUAACUACGUGCCAGCAGCCGCGGUAAUACGUAGGGGGCGAGCGUUAUCCGGAUUUAUUGGGCGUAAAGGGUGUGUAGGCGGUUUAUUAAGUCUAAGAUUAAAGCCCGAGGCUUAACCUCGGUAAGUUUUAGAAACUG